rnacentral:tRNA from 1 species
GCCCUUGUGGUACAGUGGUUAGGUGCUCAGCUGCUAAUCAAAAGGUUGGUGGUUCGAAUCCACCCAGUGGCU